AAGGUUCGCUUAGCCGCGAUUAAUUGGGAAUGAGGUGAGAAUCCUCGACUGUCCCGCAGCUGUAAGCUCCUUUUUAACGCUGAAGCAGCAAGCCAUUGCCUCCAUAGCCACGAGGUGAGAAGGCGCUUCCGCGUGGAGCAAAGUCAGAAGACCUGCCAUUCCGC
rnacentral:ncRNA from 1 species